rnacentral:rRNA from 1 species
UACGUAGGGGUCCGAGCGUUGUCCGGAAUUACUGGGCGUAAAGAGCUCGUAGGUGGUUUGUCGCGUUGUUCGUGAAAACUCACAGCUUAACUGUGGGCGUGCGGGCGAUACGGGCAGACUGGAGUACUGCAGGGGAGACUGGAAUUCCUGGUGUAGCGGUGAAAUGCGUAGAUAUUGGGGAGGAACACCAGUGGCGAAGGCGGCUCACUGGGACCGGUACUGACGCUGAUGGCGCGAAAGCGUGGGGAGACAAACGGG